UACAGAGGUCUCAACCGUUGUUCGGAUUCAUUGGGCGUAAAGGGUGCGUAGGCGGUCGCGCAAGUCGGAUGUGAAAUCUCAGGGCUCAACCCUGAAACUGCAUUCGAUACUGCGUGGCUAGAGUGCUGGAGAGGAGACUGGAAUUCCUGGUGUAGCGGUGAAAUGCGCAGAUAUCAGGAGGAACACCGGUGGCGAAGGCGGCGACCUGGUCCGGGACUGACGCUGGAGGCGACGAAAGCGUGGGGGAGCAAACAGG
rnacentral:rRNA from 1 species